UCCGUAGGUGAACCUGCGGAGGGAUCAUUGCUGGAACGCGCCCCAGGCGCACCCAGAAACCCUUUGUGAACUUAUACCUUACUGUUGCCUCGGCGCAUGCUGGUCCUCCGGGGCCCCUCACCCCCGGGUGUUGAGACGGCACGCCGGCGGCCAACCCAACUCUUGUUUUUACACUGAAACUCUGAGCACAAAACAUAAAUGAAUCAAAACUUUCAACAACGGAUCUCUUGGUUCUGGCAUCGAUGAAGAACGCAGCGAAAUGCGAUAAGUAAUGUGAAUUGCAGAAUUCAGUGAAUCAUCGAAUCUUUGAACGCACAUUGCGCCCUCUGGUAUUCCGGAGGGCAUGCCUGUUCGAGCGUCAUUUCAACCCUCAAGCCUGGCUUGGUGAUGGGGCACUGCCUGUAAAAGGGCAGGCCCUGAAAUUCAGUGGCGAGCUCGCCAGGACCCCGAGCGCAGUAGUUAAACCCUCGCUCUGGAAGGCCCUGGCGGUGCCCUGCCGUUAAACCCCCAACUUCUGAAAAUUUGACCUCGGAUCAGGUAGGAAUACCCGCUGAACUUAAGCAUAUCAAUAAGCGGAGGA
rnacentral:rRNA from 2 species